AAACAAGAUCAGAUGAUCGCUGAAGGUAGAAGAAAUGCCAUACACAUACAAGAUUUGAUAACCUGUAAAAGCUUUCAGAUACAAGUGUGCAUCACCCACAACACUAACUUCAGAUGAGGAGAGCAAACUUCCUAAGAGCUGCUUGUACAUUUUCUCAUUUCUCAUUGUGAAGAAAAAAGUGGAAGUAGCCAGAGAAACUCAGAGACCUUCAACUGGUGGAAAGUAGACCUUAAAAUAAAAGAAGCGGACAAAGAACUUGCUAAGCUUCCACAUACAACAUAUGCACAUUUGUAGAAAAUAAAAGGUAUGUUUAGGGGGAAAACUGGGGCUGUUUAAGUUAAGAGUGCUGAGGGAAUGAGUAACCCAUUGCUUGAUGUCUGGCCAUUUAAAAGGCUCUGCACAAUUCGUUUUUCAUCUGUAGUGCAACAAUCCAUAUUUGUCUCUGAUGCUGCCAGGGAAAAUAUACUAGUGCAGCCUAAGAAUACUAUUUAAAAGUGAAAGAAACAACCACUAUUUAAUUAUCUUGUUUUUUCUUACAGUUAUAAAGGCUGAUGUUACUUAAAAUCUCAAAAGCUCUUUCCCUGCUUUCCCUCAGAACCAUUGUAAACAUCAACUAUUGUUUACAAGAUGUAACCUAUUACUUUGAAAUAUCAUUUUAUUAUUUUUAAAUGAGGUAAUUUGCAAUUCCCUGUACCAUCAUAGGUGUCUCGUUCUGAGCCUCCUUGAAAAGGAAAUUUAUAAAAUAAUAACACAGUGUGUUUUUUGUGUGACAAUACAAUUUAUUUUUAACAAAUCGAUGCUGCACUUUAACCUUCUGAUUGUUUACCUUUUAUGUAUCUAUUAGACACAGAAACUGCAUUAUAGAGUAUUUUAGCUCUCUACUGAUAAACAGGAAGAAAGAAAUGAAACUCCUUAUAAAGGGCAUUCAUUCAGAAGUAUAAUUAAUAUUCUCUUCCCUUGUUAAAAAUAAUAGCUGUUUUCUGUUUGUUCCUUUUCAUUUCAAUUAAACUAUCCUUAGUGUUUCAUAUAGAGGAAGGUUUCCUUUUGUUCAUUUUUUUUUUCUUUUUGCCACUAGAAAGCAACAUUUGAACUUCCUCCUAAUCUAGUAGUAUUGGCUAUAACAUGCUUGGGUACAGCAACUAAUAUCAAAGCCCACUUUCUAUAUUUUUGGCAAUUAUUCUAAAUAAUAUGUUCUUAUAUUCAGGGCACUUUUAAAAACUAUUUCAAAUAGGCUAAAUACAUUAAUUAAAUGGUUCUCAAGAUUGUUUCUCAAUCCAAUUCCCACCACUCUGUGAAGCUCCAGAGGUCUUUUCAAUUCCUUGAAGUGUUCUGCCAUUUAUUCUGAAAUUAUGAAAUUAUAAGACAGAAGUGCGAGUUUCUCACAGUCAUUAAUGUGUUAAAGGAGAUGUACACUAGAG
rnacentral:lncRNA from 1 species